GUGAAUCAUCAAAUUUUUGAACGCAAAUUGCACUCUCCUCGGAGAGUAUGCCUGUUUGAGGGUCAGCCUAUAAAAAUCGACAUCGUUGCUGUUUCGCGGCGGCGUUCGUCGGAAAUUGGGUCAUCUUAAAUCCUUUUGUUUUAACGACUUAAAAUUUUCUUUUUGUUCCCUUGAACUUUCUUAAGAUUUUUUUUUUACCAUGUUAAGGGAU
rnacentral:misc_RNA from 1 species